rnacentral:rRNA from 1 species
AUUGAACGCUGGCGGCAUGCCUUACACAUGCAAGUCGAACGGCAGCGGACCUUCGGGUGCCGGCGAGUGGCGAACGGGUGAGUAAUAUAUCGGAACGUACCUUUCAGUGGGGGAUAACGUAGCGAAAGUUACGCUAAUACCGCAUAUUCUGUGAGCAGGAAAGCAGGGGAUCGCAAGACCUUGCGCUGAUUGAGCGGCCGAUAUCAGAUUAGCUAGUUGGUGAGGUAAAGGCUCACCAAGGCGACGAUCUGUAGCGGGUCUGAGAGGAUGAUCCGCCACACUGGAACUGAGACACGGUCCAGACUCCUACGGGAGGCAGCAGUGGGGAAUUUUGGACAAUGGGCGCAAGCCUGAUCCAGCCAUGCCGCGUGAGUGAAGAAGGCCUCGGUUGGUAAG